ACUGCUCAGUAACACGUGGAUAACCUGCCCUUGGGUCCGGCAUAACCCCGGGAAACUGGGGAUAAUACCGGAUAACGCAUAUAUGCUGGAAUGCUUUAUGCGUCAAAUGGAUUCGUCUGCCCAAGGAUGGGUCUGCGGCCUAUCAGGUAGUAGUGGGUGUAAUGUACCUACUAGCCGACGACGGGUACGGGUUGUGAGAGCAAGAGCCCGGAGAUGGAUUCUGAGACAUGAAUCCAGGCCCUACGGGGCGCAGCAGGCGCGAAAACUUUACAAUGCGGGAAACCGUGAUAAGGGGACACCGAGUGCCAGCAUCAUAUGCUGGCUGUCCAGGUGUGUAAACUACACCUGUUAGCAAGGGCCGGGCAAGACCGGUGCCAGCCGCCGCGGUAACACCGGCGGCCCGAGUGGUGAUCGUGAUUAUUGGGUCUAAAGGGUCCGUAGCCGGUUUGGUCAGUCCUCCGGGAAAUCUGACGGCUCAACCGUUAGGCUUUCGGGGGAUACUGCCAGGCUUGGAACCGGGAGAGGUAAGAGGUACUACAGGGGUAGGAGUGAAAUCUUGUAAUCCCUGUGGGACCACCUGUGGCGAAGGCGUCUUACCAGAACGGGUUCGACGGUGAGGGACGAAAGCUGGGGGCACGAACCGGAUUAGAUACCCGGGUAGUCCCAGCCGUAAACGAUGCUCGCUAGGUGUCAGGCAUGGCGCGACCGUGUCUGGUGCCGCAGGGAAGCCGUGAAGCGAGCCACCUGGGAAGUACGGCCGCAAGGCUGAAACUUAAAGGAAUUGGCGGGGGAGCAC
rnacentral:rRNA from 1 species